GCCCCGUGCUUGGUGUUGGACGGCUUGGUCGGUACAACGACCCCUCCCAAAGACAAUGACGGCGGCUGCGGCUCCCCCGGUACACUGAGCUUUUGCGAGCACGUAUCGGAUAAAAGGGUGCCCCACCACGUUCUUCUUCCUUUACCGGAAACUUUCUUCAGGUUGACCUCGGAUCAGGUAGGAAUACGCGCUGAACUUAA
rnacentral:misc_RNA from 1 species